GACACUAGUACGAGAGGACCGUGUUGGACAGACCUCUGGUUUGCCGGUUGUGCCGCCAGGUGCAUUGCCGGGUAUCUACGUCUGGAUCGGAUAAGUGCUGAAAGCAUCUAAGCACGAAGCCGGCCACAAGAUUAGAUUUCCUUUGAGGGUCGUCAUAGACGAUGACGUUGAUAGGAGGCAGGUGUAAAGACGGUGACGUCAAAGCCGAGCCUUACUAAUUGCCCGAAAGCUUUCGCUCA
rnacentral:rRNA from 1 species